rnacentral:rRNA from 1 species
AGCGAACGCUGGCGGCAGGCCUAACACAUGCAAGUCGAGCGCCCAGCAAUGGGAGCGGCAGACGGGAUAGUAACACGUGGGAACGUACCCUUCAGUUCGGAACAACCCAGGGAAACUUGGGCUAAUACCGAAUACGUCCGUAAGGAGAAAGAUUUAUCGCUGAAGGAUCGGCCCGCGUCUGAUUAGCUAGUUGGUGAGGUAACGGCUCACCAAGGCGACGAUCAGUAGCUGGCUGAGAGGAUGAUCAGCAUCACUGGGACUGAGACACGGCCCAGACUCCUACGGGAGGCAGCAGUGGGGAAUAUUGCGCAAUGGCCGCAAGGCUGACGCAGCGACGCCGCGUGUGGGAUGACGCCUUUCGGGU